AGCAGUCUAGAGGAUGGCAAAAAUCAAGUCAAAGAUUUGAAAUACGAAGAAGCAAAAAAUACUCAACCAGAAAAGAAAAAAGAAAAAAGAAUCCAAAAAUAUGAAGAUAAUGUAAGGAGGCUCUGGGACAAAUUCAAGCAUACUAACAUAUGAAUUAUAGGGUGCCA